UACGGGGGGGGCAAGCGUUGUUCGGAAUUACUGGGCGUAAAGGGCUCGUAGGCGGCCAACUAAGUCAGACGUGAAAUCCCUCGGCUUAACCGGGGAACUGCGUCUGAUACUGGAUGGCUUGAGGUUGGGAGAGGGAUGCAGAAUUCCAGGUGUAGCGGUGAAAUGCGUAGAUAUCUGGAGGAAUACCGGUGGCGAAGGCGGCAUCCUGGACCGGCAUUGACGCUGAGGAGCGAAAGCCAGGGGAGCAAACGGG
rnacentral:rRNA from 1 species